AUGACUUUGGUCUCCGUCCUCAUCUGGACUCUCCUCUGCUGCUGCUUCACAGAGUCCAGAGGCCAGGUCACAGUGACUCAGCCUGGAGCAGUGAGCUCUGAUCUGGGAGCCUCCACCACCAUCACAUGUACCACCAGUCAGGAUGUUUAUGGCUCUAACUAUUUAGCCUGGUACCAACAGAGAGAUGGAGAAACUCCUAAACUUCUCAUUUACUAUGCCACCACUCUACAAUCAGGGAUUUCCAGUCGUUUUUCAGGCAGUGGAUCAAACUCUCAUUUCACUCUGACCAUCAGUGAUGUUCAGGCUGAAGAUGCAGCAGUUUAUUACUGUCAGAGUUUACACCAGAUCAACAGCCUCUGGGUGUUCACACAGUGA